CAUUAUUUUAUCUUUUUUUGUAUUGUCAACCUUGUUGUUACGGUAUUUAUGUAAGUAAUGAAUACCCACAUCCUGUUGUCUUCAAGCAGUUGAAGCAACAGCUGUUGUUUGUUUACAUUUUUGAAUUAAUCGCUUUCAAAUUGAUUCGGUAGAAUUUGCCGGUGCCUGCAUUUAUUUAUUUUUUUUUUUUGAUAAUGUGCGGAAAAGAAAGUAUUUGACGAUUGUGCGAUUUUAUUGAUAUUAAAUUUAUUUAAAAAAAUAAAAUAUUGAUUUAACAGUCGCGUAAACAUGAAAUAAUUUUGCAUGCACGGAACUGAAAAGUGAUAUGAUUAACGGCAAUAUUAGUUUUGCGAAAUUAAAACUCAAAGCUUUAUAAAGUAUAAAUCAAUGUUUAAACCAAAAACUACAUGUGGACUGAGGCAUUAACAAUGUCACUUGUUAGGACUUGUUUAAUUUUUUCACCGCUUAUUCGAACAAACAAACAGAUUUUAAACUGAUUUAUGUCCAUAGUGAACUGCGCCAAGAACAUUUAAAAUUUAGACAUUGAAUUAAUAAUAACAGAUCCGAGCAAAAUAGACAAAACAAGAAGAUAAUUUAUGCAGAAUGCAAAUAAAUUAGUAUGAACAUUUGUAAGGAUGUGUAAAUGCUUAGCCAUUAGCAGUUAGCAAUUAGAUGAAAAUACUAAAUAAAUUUAAUAAUUUUAACUAAGCAGCGACUUUA